rnacentral:tRNA from 2 species
GGGACUGUAGCACAACCUGGCUAGUGUGACCGCCUCCAGAGCGGUUGAUCCGAGUUCAAAUCUUGGCAGUCCCACCA